rnacentral:rRNA from 1 species
UACGUAGGGGGCUAGCGUUGUCCGGAUUUAUUGGGCGUAAAGAGCGUGUAGGCGGCCAGGUAGGUCUGGUGUGAAAACUCGAGGCUUAACCUCGAGAUGUCAUCGGAAACCAUCUGGCUAGAGUCCGGAAGAGGAGAGUGGAAUUCCCGGUGUAGCGGUGAAAUGCGCAGAUAUCGGGAAGAACACCCGUGGCGAAGGCGGCUCUCUGGGACGGUACUGACGCUGAGACGCGAAAGCGUGGGGAGCGAACAGG